CCUACGGGGUGCAGCAGUGAGGAAUAUUGCUCAAUGGACGAGAGUCUGAACCAGCCAAGUAGCGUGAAGGAUGACUGCCCUAUGGGUUUUAAACUUCUUUUAUAUGGGAAUAAAACAGGGUAUGCAUACCCUCUUGUAUGUACCAUAUGAAUAAGGAUCGGCUAACUCCGUGCCAGCAGCCGCGGUACUACGGAGGGUCCUAGCGUUAUCCGGAUUUAUUGGGUUUAAAGGGAACGUAGGUGGAUUGUUAAGUCAGUUGUGAAAGUUUGCGGCUCAACCGUAAAAUUGCAGUUGAAACUGGCAGUCUUGAGUACAGUAGAGGUGGGCGGAAUUCGUGGUGUAGCGGUGAAAUGCGUAGAGAUCACGAAGAACACCGAUUGCGAAGGCAGCUCACUGGACUGCAACUGACACUGAUGCUCGAAAGUGUGGGGAGCAAACAGGAUUAGAUACCCCGGUAGUC
rnacentral:rRNA from 1 species